AGGUUUAAAUUUAGCCACUCUCCACGUUCUGCACCGACAUGUGACAGUGCUGGACAACCUUAACUCUGUGUUUAAUUAAGUUUUUCUAUCAUUUAAUUUCCUUGGUUUAAAAAAAAAAAACAUCCCCAUGUUGCUCACCUCUCCUCCUCCACUGCCUCUGGCUCCUUGCAGUCAUUACUCUGGCCCCAGAAUGCACUGGCUGCAUGUUACAGAAAAUAGAUCCUCUCAAACUAACUUGAUAUCUUUUGAGAUAACAGGUUGAUAAAGGUAACGGUAUUGAUGUAAUAUAUUUAGACUUUUGUAAUGCAUUUGGUACUUCACGAUAUUUUGAUUAAAAAAUUUGAAUGAUCCAAAAAUAACAUGGCCCAUAUUAAAUGGAUUAAACAAAGGCUAACUGAUAGAUCUCAAAAUGUAAUUGUAUGUGAGAAAUCAUCAGCAAGUGAGUGUUUCUGGUGAGGUACCACAGCGAUCUAUUCUUGACCCUAUGCCAUUUAAGAUUUUUAUCAAUGACCUGAAAGUAAACACAAAAUCACUACAAUAAAGUUUGCAAAUGACACACAAACUGUGGAGUGGUAAAUAAUGAAGAGUACAGGUCCCGGAUACAGAGCAAACUGGAUCAUUUGAUAAGCUGGGCACAAGCAAACUAGCAUUUUAAUACGGCCAAAUGUAAAUGUGUACAUGUAGGAACAAAGAAUGUAGGCCAUAGUCACAGGAUGGGGGGACAACCCCCCCAGCUGUCUUGAUUCUGUCCCCAUGACAGUGAUUGCUCUGAUCAGUUUUUGAACUCUACUGGCCAAGGAUCACAGACUUCCCAAACCCCCCACUUUAAACCAUCCUUCCCUCAUGUUUUUAAAUGCCUUUUCCUGAUUGCCCGCUUUGAGUACACCUAGCAGCUCACCUUUUUUGUGUACAUCUGACCAUGCUGGUUCCAUGCAUGCAGAGCUACUAAACACGCUCCUGUCUGGAGCAAGCAACAAGUUGUGGAUCUUCUUACCCUUCUUACCCUGUGGAGAGACAAGACUGUGCGAGCCCAGAAAUGGAACAGCUGUUGAAAUAUCAACACUAUGUGCAGAUUUCACAGGGGGUGCUGGAACAGGGGCAUGACAGGGCUGCGCAGCAGGGGAUACCACCAGGCAUACCACAAGGCAAGAGAAGUCAACAAGAACCUUGGGGCUGCCCUGCAGACCUGCCACUUUUACAACAAACUGCAUGCCAUACUUGGCAGUGACCCCACCAGCACUCUGAGGACUACUGCGGACACUUCAGAGGAGCCCAAGGCAGAGACCCCUACCACAAAUAGCAAGGGGGCAGGGGGAACACAGCUGGGGACUCGACUAUGCCAUGAGCAGGAACUGUUUGAAACUCUGAUGGAGUCAAGCCAGGUGAGCGCAGAUGAGCACACUAAUGAGCAAGAAGAGAGCUCGGAUUGCUUGAAGCAAGCAAUGAUGCUAUCAUCGUGAGGGAUGUUUGUGUAAUGGGACGUGACCACCACCCUGGUUUGCCAGUCCAGAGUGUGGAGAGCUCACCUAGCAACUGCCCAGCUGACCAUGCCAGCUCCACGCUGCAGACCUGCUCCUGCCUGUAGGAGGCAGGAGGUGAUGGAUCUGCUUC